rnacentral:rRNA from 1 species
UACGUAGGGUGCGAGCGUUGUCCGGAAUUAUUGGGCGUAAAGAGCUUGUAGGCGGUCUGUCGCGUCUGCUGUGAAAAUCCGGGGCUCAACCCCGGACUUGCAGUGGGUACGGGCAGACUAGAGUGUGGUAGGGGAGACUGGAAUUCCGUGGUGUAGCGGUGAAAUGCGCGAUAUCGAGGAGGAACGAGCCGAGUGGCGAGCGGCUCUGGGCAUUAACUGACGCUGAUGCGCGGACAAGCGGUGGGUAGC